rnacentral:rRNA from 1 species
UACGGAGGGUGCGAGCGUUGUCCGGAAUCAUUGGGCGUAAAGAGCGUGUAGGCGGUCCGGUAAGUCCGCUGUGAAAGUCGGGGGCUCAACCCUCGAAUGCCGGUGGAUACUGUCGGGCUAGAGUGCGGAAGAGGCGAGUGGAAUUCCUGGUGUAGCGGUGAAAUGCGUAGAGAUCAGGAAGAACACCGGUGGCGAAAGCGCUCUGCUGGACCUUAACUGACACUGAGGGACGAAAGCUAGGGGAGCGAAUGGG